CCUGGAGGCAGCAGUGGGGAAUUGUUCGCAAUGGGCGCAAGCCUGACGACGCAACGCCGCGUGGGGGAUGAAGGUCUUCGGAUUGUAAACCCCUGUCGAGCGGGACGAAUGGCCCGCGAUCUAAUACAUCGCGGGAGUGACGGUACCGCUAAAGGAAGCCACGGCUAACUCUGUGCCAGCAGCCGCGGUAAUACAGAGGUGGCAAGCGUUGUUCGGAAUUACUGGGCGUAAAGGGCGCGUAGGCGGCCUUCUAAGUCAGACGUGAAAUCCCCCGGCUCAACCUGGGAACUGCGUCUGAUACUGGGAGGCUUGAAUGCGGGAGAGGGAUGCAGAAUUCCAGGUGUAGCGGUGAAAUGCGUAGAUAUCUGGAGGAAUACCGGUGGCGAAGGCGGCAUCCUGGACCGACAUUGACGCUGAGGCGCGAAAGCUAGGGUAGCAAACGGGAUUAGAUACCCUUGUAGUCAC
rnacentral:rRNA from 1 species